rnacentral:rRNA from 1 species
AUUGAACGCUGGCGGCAUGCCUUACACAUGCGAGUCGAACGGUAACGGGCCUUCGGGUGCCGACGAGUGGCGAACGGGUGAGUAAUGCAUCGGAACGUACCUUUCAGUGGGGGAUAACGUAGCGAAAGUUACGCUAAUACCGCAUAUUCUGUGAGCAGGAAAGCAGGGGAUCGCAAGACCUUGCGCUGAUUGAGCGGCCGAUGUCAGAUUAGCUAGUUGGUGAGGUAAAGGCUCACCAAGGCGACGAUCUGUAGCGGGUCUGAGAGGAUGAUCCGCCACACUGGGACUGAGACACGGCCCAGACUCCUACGGGAGGCAGCAGUGGGGAAUUUUGGACGAUGGGGGCAACCCUGAUCCAGCCAUGCCGCGUGAGUGAAGAAGGCCUUCGGGUUGUAAAGCUCUUUCGGCCGGGAAGAAAUCGCACAGGCUAAUACCUUGUGUGGAUGACGGUACCGGAAUAAGAAGCACCGGCUAACUACGUGCCAGCAGCCGCGGUAAAAC